AUUGAACGCUGGCGGCAGGCCUAACACAUGCAAGUCGAGCGGAGCGGCGGACGGGUGAGUAAUAUCUGUGGAACUGCCUGAUGGAGGGGGGGAAAUACAGGAAACGGUAGAUAAUACCGCAUACCCUCUGAGAUGCCCAGAGGGGAUUAGCUAGUAGGUGGGGUAAAGGCCUACCAAGGCGACGAUCCGUAUCUGGUCUGUGAGGAUGAUCAGUCACACUGGAACUGCGGCAAGGUCCAGACGCCUACGGGAGGCAGCAGGGGGGAAUAUUGAACAAUGGGCGAAAGCCUGAUCCAGCCAUGCCGCGUGUGUGAAGAAGGUCUUCGGAUUGUAAAGCACUUUAAGUUGGGAGGCGUUACCAACAGAAUAAGCACCGGCUAACUUCGUGCCAGCAGCCGCGGUAAUAC
rnacentral:rRNA from 1 species